rnacentral:rRNA from 1 species
GUGCCAGCCGCCGCGGUAAUACGAAGGGGGCUAGCGUUGUUCGGAAUUACUGGGCGUAAAGCGUGCGCAGGCGGUCUCUCAAGUCAGGGGUGAAAGCCCAGAGCUCAACUCUGGAACUGCCCUUGAAACUGUGAGGCUCGAGUGCGGGAGAGGUGAGUGGAAUUCCCAGUGUAGAGGUGAAAUUCGUAGAUAUUGGGAAGAACACCGGUGGCGAAGGCGGCUCACUGGCCCGUUUCUGACGCUCAUGCACGAUAGCGUGGGGAUCAAACAGGAUUAGAAACCCCCGUAGUCC